rnacentral:rRNA from 1 species
UACAGAGGGUGCAAGCGUUAUUCGGAAUCACUGGGCGUAAAGAGCUCGUAGGCGGUUAAUUAAGUCAUAUGUGAAAGCCCUGGGCUCAAUCCAGGAAGAGCAUCUGAUACUGAUUGACUGGAGUGCAGGAGAGGAAAGCGGAAUUCCAGGUGUAGAGGUGAAAUUCGUAGAUAUCUGGAGGAACAACAGAAGCGAAGGCGGCUUUCUGGACUGUCACUGACGCUGAGGAGCGAAAGCGUGGGGAGCAAACAGGAUUAGAUACCCUGGUAGUCCACGCUGUAAACGAUGGAUACUAGAUGUCGGGGGCCUUACCCCCUCGGUGUCGACGCUAACGCAUUAAGUAUCCCGCCUGGGGAGUACGGCCGCAAGGUUAAA